UACCUUUCACUACGGAAUAGCUCUUGGAAACGAGUGGUAAUACCGUAUACGCCCUCCGGGGGAAAGAUUUAUCGGUGAAAGAUCGGCCCGCGUUAGAUUAGCUAGUUGGUAGGGUAAUGGCCUACCAAGGCGACGAUCUAUAGCUGGUCUGAGAGGAUGAUCAGCCACACUGGGACUGAGACACGGCCCAGACUCCUACGGGAGGCAGCAGUGGGGAAUCUUGCACAAUGGGCGAAAGCCUGAUGCAGCCAUGCCGCGUGAAUGAUGAAGGCCUUAGGGUUGUAAAAUUCUUUCGCCAGGGAUGAUAAUGACAGUACCUGGUAAAGAAGCCCCGGCUAACUUCGUGCCAGCAGCCGCGGUAAUACGAAGGGGGCUAGCGUUGUUCGGAAUUACUGGGCGUAAAGCGCACGUAGGCGGACUUUUAAGUCAGAUGUGAAAUCCCGGGGCUCAACCUCGGAACUGCAUUUGAAACUGGAAGUCUAGAGACCAGGAGAGGUUAGCGGAAUACCGAGUGUAGAGGUGAAAUUCGUAGAUAUUCGGUGGAACACCAGUGGCGAAGGCGGCUAACUGGACUGGUACUGACGCUGAGGUGCGAAAGUGUGGGGAGCAAACAGGAUUAGAUACCCUGGUAGUCCACACCGUAAACGAUGAGAGCUAGUUGUUGGCAGGCAUGCCUGUCGGUGACGCAGCUAACGCAUUAAGCUCUCCGCCUGGGGAGUACGGUCGCAAGAUUAAAACUCAAAGAAAUUGACGGGGGCCCGCA
rnacentral:rRNA from 1 species